AAAGCACUUUCAGCUAGGAGGAAGGCAUCACACUUUAUACGUGUGGUGAUUGACCUUACUCGCAGAAGAAGCACCGGCUAACUCCGUGCCAGCAGCCGCGGUAAUACGGAGGGUGCAAGCGUUAAUCGGAAUUACUGGGCGUAAAGCGCACGCAGGCGGUCGGUUAAGUCAGAUGUGAAAUCCUCGGGCUUAACGUGGGAACUGCAUUGGAAACUGGCAAGCUAGAGUCUGGUAGAGGAGGGUGGAAUUCCAGGUGUAGCGGUGAAAUGCGUAGAGAUCUGGAGGAACACCGGUGGCGAAGGCGGCCCUCUGGACAAAGACUGACGCUCAGGAGCGAAAGCGUGGGGAGCAAACAGG
rnacentral:rRNA from 1 species